rnacentral:lncRNA from 1 species
CUGUAGAAUGUCCAUGGCCAGAUAUUUUUAUCCAUGGUUAAAACAUGGAUAUCCAUGGCCAGAGCAUGGAUAUCCAGGUGAAUUAGGAGUUUUGCCAUGGAAAAGUUGAAUCCAUGGACAGUUGUCCAGGGAUGAAGGCAGGGAUAUCAUGGACAUUGUCCAUGGAAAGUGAAUAGCAGCAUGGACAUGGUCCAUGGUCAGCUUUUCUGUUCACACUUAGAAAUUCUCUGAUGAAUAAGGCAGAAAAAGUUCUAAGUCGAAAAAAUGGGAAUUUUUUUAAAAAUUAUUAAUUCAUUACUGUCCUUAGUUUUAUGGUCAUAUAGGUAUUCAAAUUAAUUGAAAUGAAACAAGGAAUGUAACUAAAUAAAAUGUUUUCAUUUUGCAUAUUAAAAAAAAAUGUAAAUUAGAAUUACAUCAUUUUAUUAAUUCAUCCUGACAGUUGAUGUAACAAGAUAUCAUACAUCAUUGAAAAUAUAUCCCACUAUAAGCUAUUUAUUUCUUUCAGUUUGUUAUUGAACAUCUCAAACAAUGGCACCAAAAAAAAAUACAGUAGUUCAUAAGGAUUAAAUGUCAUAUAGUCAAAGAAAUUGUUAUGAAAUUAUGCUCAUAUAUGUAAACUCAUCAUAUUAUAAACUGAAUUAGUCUAUGCCUUUGAUAAUCCAGGCAGUGAUUAAUUAUCUAGCUUUUACAGCCUUUUAAUACACUGCUGUUCAGUGUGUACUGUUGUAUAAAUGAACACACAGAGAUAGCUGAUAACAUCUGGAGAUUCUGACCAAGAUAAAGACCAAUGGAAAUGUGCAGGCUUCUGAAGCCGUUUUACACAUGUAGCCCCAAGAAAUAAUCCCAGUACUUUUUAAAAAAAAAAUUCUGUGAUCUUUGCAAAUUCUGUGAGCAAAUAAAUGGAAAAAUUCUCAUGAACUGUAUAUAUAUAUUUUAAGAACAUUCCAGAUAUUCCCUUCAGUAACUAUACUGUACCAAGGAAUAUUGCUCAUGAAUACAAAAAUUUGAAUGUAAACAGGAAGUGCUUUGUUCUAGAUGUUGGAGGCAAAAUGGAAUGGAGCUAAAUAAUUUUGUACCUUGAAAUUCUAAAAUGCUUUUAGAGAGAUAUCAGAUACAAGAGUGUACAUAUUGAGUUAUUAGAAGCAUUGUCUUCAACAUGUAUGAAUGAAAUGAUGUAAUCAGAGAUAAUUGAUGGCUUUAGUGACUAUGCUACAGGAUGAAAUGAGAUCACAGACAGAGACCCCAUCAAACACUUAACUAAAUGGCUGGAAUGAGGUUCCUGACCCUGGUGAUGGUUUUAGCAAAGCUAAGAGACAUUCUGGUGCCACCUAUAUUGAGCCAACAUAACUCCAAAAAUGAUUUUGUUGUAUUCAUAACUUUCUAUUAAAUAAUUUUUACAUUUAAUAUAUCUUUUAGUUUAAUUUUUUAGUUGAAGCUAAGUUCAAGCCACAAUUGCCAGGUUAGGCUAAGAAGUGCUGCAUGAUGACAGGUCCUUGGACAGCAUGGACCCAGUCCAUGGAUGGCAUGGACACCAUCCAUGGACGGCUUAGACACUGGACAAUGUCCAUGGAUGGCAUGGCCACUGUCCAUGGAUAUGCCCUGGACACUGGCCAUGGAUGCCAUGGACAUUGUCCAUGGCCACUGUCCCUGGACAGGCAUGGAUUUUUAUCCAGGGAUACACAGUUUUUGUCCAUGGAUAUGUGUUCCAAUACUCCAUGGACAACAGACCAUGCUGAAAUCCAUGGAAUCCAUGGACAUACUACAGCC